AGAGUCUAUUCUGCUCGAGGUUGCGGCUAUUUGGAUUCCAUUAAGCCAUGCAAGUCACCUCAGCAAUGGGGGGCGAACCGCUCAGUAAUAUACAGUUAAUCUACCCUAAGAUUAAUGAUAACCUCGGGAAACUGAGAUUAAUAAUUGAUAGAUGAAAGAGGCUGGAAUGCGCUUUCAUUGAAACGCAAGGUCCUAGGAUGAGACUGUACCUGAUUAGGUAGUUGUUGAGGUAAUUACUCAACAAGCCGUAUCAGUAAGGGCUCUUAACGGAGAGGCCCUGAGAAGGACUCUGAGACACAAGUCCUAGCUCCAUGGAGUGCAGCAGGCGGGAGAAUUUUCCAAUGUCCGACAGGAUGAGAAAGGAAUCCAAAGUGCUUCUCAAUUUGAGAAGCUUUUAUUUACUAUAAAAAAGUAGAAGAAUAAGGACUGGGUAAGACCGGUGCCAGCCGCCGCGGUAAUCCCGGCAGUCCAAGUCGCAAUCGCAUUUAUUAGGUCUAAAACAUUCGUAGCUUGCUUCGUAAGUUCUUUGUGAAAUCGUUGCGCUUAACGUAACGGCGUGCAGAGGAUACUGCGAGGCUAGAGAUUGGGAGACGUAACGAGUACAGCAAAGGUAGUGGUAAAAUACUUUAAUCUUUGCUGGACUAACAAUUUGGCGAAGGCACGUUACGAGAACAAUUCUGACGGUGAGGGAUGAAGGCCGGGGGCGCAAAAUGGAUUAGAUACCCAUGUAGUCCCGGCAGUAAACACUGCUUACUAAACAUUGUGUUCUCCUAGAGAGGAUGCAGUGCUGAAGAGAAGUCGUAGAGUAAGCUACCUGGGGAGUAUAGCCGCAAGGCCGAAACUUAAAGAAAUUGGCGGGGGGGCACACAAGGGGUGACGCGUGCGGUUCAAUUAGAUUCUACACCGUGAACCUCACCAGGACCGAUAGCAGGAUGAAGGUCAGUCUAAAGGGCUUACCUAACACGCUAAGAGGAGAUGCAUAGCCGUCGUAAGCUUGUGCCGUGAGGUGCCCUGUUAAAUCAGGUAACAAGCGAGACCUGCAUAUAUAAUUGCUACUUGGAGAGAGAGCACAUUAUACAGACUGCCUCAGUAAUGAGGAGGAAGGCGCAGUCAACGACAGGUCUGUACGUCCCGAAUGCCCUGGGCUACACGCGCGCGGCAAUGCUACAUGCAAUGAGACGCAACUCCGAAAGGAGAAGCAAAUCCCUUAAAAUGUAGCUUAGUUCAGAUUGAAGUCUGCAACUCGAUUUCAUGACGCUGGAAUCCCUAGUAAUCGGACGUUAUCAGCGUCCGGUGAAUAAGUCCCUGUCCCUUGCACACACUGCCCAUCAUUCCAACCGAGUUAUGUUUGGAUGAAGUCCGCAAGGAAGGAAUCCAGAUAUAGUAAGGUAGGACAAGUUGUCACAAGGUA
rnacentral:rRNA from 1 species